rnacentral:rRNA from 1 species
UGCCAGCAGCCGCGGUAAUACAUAGGGUGCAAGCGUUGUCCGGAAUUAUUGGGCGUAAAGAGCUCGUAGGUGGUUUGUUACGUCGGUUGUGAAAUUCAGGGGCUCAACCCCUGACUUGCAGCCGAUACGGGCAAGCUAGAGUUUGGUAGGGGAGACUGGAAUUCCUGGUGUAGCGGUGGAAUGCGCAGAUAUCAGGAGGAACACCGAUGGCGAAGGCAGGUCUCUGGGCCAAUACUGACACUGAGGAGCGAAAGCGUGGGGAGCGAACAGGAUUAGAUACCCUGGUAGUCCACGCCGUAAACGGUGGGCGCUAGUUGUGCGAACCUUCCACGGUUUGUGCGACGCAGCUAACGCAUUAAGCGCCCCGCCUGGGGAGUACGAUCGCAAGAUUAAAACUCAAAGAAAUUGACGG